UUUUAUUUACUCUGAAUGCUGAAAAAUGUUUAUUUAAUUCUAUUGUCAUGUCCGAAACUUGAUAAAAUACAUCCCUCAGCUGUCAAAACUCGAAGCGGUGUAAACUUCAUCCUAAGGGACAGACACAUCACUCUUGUAGUGCUGCUGUGUUGUGUCUCCACGUGGAUGCUUUGGCUGCCAUAUCACCUAAAGCACCCCCCAAAACCAGCUUUGGCAGAUAAUUUGUGCUGGUUUUGAGAAUGAAGAAACAUAUUUCUAUCUGGUUUUGUUUAGGGAUGGGAAUAAAACCUAUUGCAUUUUUGGGGCAUAGGAGGUUGUGUGGGGACUAAGCAUUGAUUUUCCUUGUGAAUGAUAUACAAAUUUCAGAUAAUUAUGAAGUUAUUUGCUAGAUUGCCUUUUGGCAUAUUCUACUGACUGUUAUUGGCAUUUUCUAAUGAUCUGAUGUAAGACAUUAGUUUAGAUGAUGGUCCUAUAUGAUAGUUAUGCCACUCCCAAAAGAAAUACCUUAGUGCAGUGUUUGUCUCCAAAAAAUGGAUGCAAAUCUAGAGAUUUUGUCCAAUACAUGCUUUGCUCUACAUGUCAAAAUAUAAGCACACUUAAAUUUUCUAGUCUCAUUUGGUGACCAUGGAAAUUAAUCGUCCCAAUGCAUUUCUUAUCUUGCAUUUUAUUUUUUAUAGUUUUUCUAGCUUAUGUUUUUAGAAAGACAUUAGCUCUCUCUUCAAUACUUUGCCACAUCAUUAAAAGUCCCAUGUGGUAUGGUCAAAUUUAUAUGCGAGCCUUUGGUUGAUACAACAUGAACUGCCACUUGGUCUCUUAUGACAUUCUAUACCCAUCUUCCCAUCAACAACGAUAGUCUUGAUCUUAAGGGCACUAAUAUAGCUCUCUGACACUUACUUUGGCCCAUAGCAACAACACUGAUCAGGACGAUUAAUCGACGACCAGGAUGAUUAAUUGACUUCUGAUCGGUCUAAUCGUCCAGCAUAUAACAGUAUAUGGUAUAUAUACCAUAUACUAUAUAUUUAUGUAGUAGACAUCGAGCAUCAAGACUAUAUUUCUAAGGAGGGAGUGAGACGCACGCAGCAGCAGCAGCAGGGAAGAGAUGCAGCUCAGCAGCUGCACACAAAGCUGAGGAGAGAGAGUGAGGAUGAGGUAUAUAAGAGAAACCCUAAUGGGCUUGGCCCAAAUAAAUAUAGCCCAAUAAACUGAAGCAGCAAUCUGCCUAUUUAGUGUUGAUCGACCAAGAGACCUAAUCGGACGAUUAAUCGCAAGUAAUCAAAAAUUAAUCAGACGAUUAGGUUUCUGAUCACUCUAAUAAAAUCGGAAGGCCUAAUCGAGUGCUAGUAGAUAAGGAUGAUUAAUCGUGAUUAAUCGGGCGAUCAGAAAACAUUGGUACACAUUAAUCAAGUUAGGAAAUUUGUAAGUUUUGAGCCUAGGAUUUAGUUUUAGGAUACAGUGUAGCAAGCCACACAUUUUUUCAUUUCUGCCAUCCAUUUUUGAACAUGAUGUUUUUCCAAUUAUGCAGAGUUAUGGGAGCUACUUUGGCUGACAUGGAUGUUGAGCCAUGAACCAAAUGCAUGUAUAGCUUACCUGAUUAGUAUUUGAUACCAAAUUUCUAAAUUUACUUAAAUACGUAUACAUAUUGGGAUAUCAAUUAUCAAUAUUGUCAUUACACAUCAUAAUUGUAUUUCAUGAGGAAAAAGUUUCUUUUCAUUCAAGUCUCAGCUUUAAAAGGUAUGAAGCAUGUCAAUGCUAUUGAAGUGUCAGAUGUACUUUCAUUAAGUCACUAGUAUAUUGCCCAUGCUAAUGCUACGAGCCACAUUAGGCAAGGAAAAACUAUUCUCUUCAAGGUGUGAGAAAAUGUUGGCUAUCACAUUCACACAGUUUACAAAAUCAAUACCUUUGAACCUACUCCAAAAGCUAUGCCACUAACGCACAACAAAUUUCAACAAAUGUCGUUCUAAAAGCAAAAUGAAUAAAAAGAAAAAAGACACAUGAUUCAUUGUUGUCAUCACUCUAUUCACACAAUGUUCAAAAAGGCAGCGCCUCAUCCCCCGCCUAGGCGCGACUAAUCGCUGGUGCUCUGUCGUCGGUCGCUGCAUGAACCGACUGAUGUAGCCAACAGCGAACGCCAUGUCCGGCCACAUAUAGACGAGGUAGCAAAGGUUGCCCACAAUGCGCCGGUACCAAAUGGCGUCGACCUCCUUGGCCAUGCUGUUGUGGCUCAGCUUCAGCCUCUCCAUGGGAGUGCAGGCUCCCAAGUCAAUGAUGCGCUUGGCGUAGGCGGUGAGGGAGAUGCCGUAGCUGUCUUGGUGGACCUCGAUCCCAUGGUAGAAGGAGAGAAGGCCCAAGUUGCUCAUCUGGAAGGUCGCCUUCAUCUCCUUGCUCACAUCUACCUUAGCCUCCUUGGUGCCGGUGAUCACCAAGUCGCCGACGUAGAGGCCUACCAAUAGGGCAUUGCCAUCCUUGCCCCGCCGAUAGACAGCAGCCUCAUGAGGACUUUGUUGGAACCCCAUUUGCUUGAGGGUGGAGUCUAGCUUGGCAUUCCAAGCUCAGGGUGCCUGCCGCAAGCCAUAGAGGGCCUUGUGCAGGCGAAGAACCUUAUUCUCCUUGCUGGGGAUGAUGAAUCUUGGUGGUUGGUGGACGUAGACCGCCUUAAGGUCACCAUUGAGGAACGCGGACUUGAAGUCCUUGUGGUGCAUGCGCCAACCCUCUUGGGCCACCAGCGUGAGGAGAUGAUGAAUGGACUCUAUUGUUCGCCAGGUGCAACUUUGCCUCGAAGUUGUGAAUCGCCAGUCUAGGGACGGGCUGAUCACCGAAGAUGUUGUCCAAGGUGCGGUAGCGCAGAGGCUCGUCGUUGUGGUACACAUUGACGCGAUCCUUGUUGUUAGACAACAGAGUGGCAAACUCCACCGAGCGCUGCUCGUCACGGAUUGAAGUUGUCGGUGCCAAUCUCAGAGGUGUGGGUGCCCGUACCGAUGUAGUAGUAUGAGGAGGCGGUGUUGCAGAGUAGGGCGCCGCCAAUGUAGGAGAGCUAGGCGUAGCCAGUGAUGGACUCGUUGGUACUGUAGGUGGUGGACUCACUGGAGCUGAUGGUGAGCCGGGUGCUGAGGUGGUUGAGCUCGAUGAGGAUGAGUUGCUAGCUCCUCGCCUCCCUUGAAGUGGACGUAGUCGACAAUGAAGUCUCUGAGAGUCAAUGUCAAGCCAUCGUCCACUGCCUUGUCCCAAGCCUAGCCUUGCCCUUCGUUGAACACGACAUCCCGGGAGAUGCAGACACGAUAUGUCGUAGUGUCAAGGAUGCGGUAGGCCUUGAUGCCCUCUUUGUAGCCGAUGAAGACUCUCGACGUGCUCUUUUCGUUGAGCUUGCCAACGUGGUUAAGCUCCUUGGCGAAAGCGAGACACUCGAACACGCGGAGGUGGCUCGCCACUGGCUUGCGCUCGUGCCAGGCCUUGUACGGUGUCUUGCUGUCAAGGGCCUUGGUCGGUGAGCGGUUGAGAUGGACGACAGUCAUCACCACCUCCCCCAGUAGAUGGUCGGCAUCCCUCUCUGCUCGAGGAGGGCGUGGGCGGUGGCCACCGCCGUCUGGUUGCGGUGGUACACGAUGCCGUUUUGCUGCGGGGUGUAUGGUGCGGAGAAGUGGCGUUGGAUCCCUUAAUCGGCGCAGUACAUCGUGAACUUGCCGCCAUUGUCGGUGCGUAGCAUCCAUUGAUGGCGUCCGCAGCCGCCGCCUUGGUGUCGAGUAGGCCUCUCACAUGUAGUGGGACAUGUCGUUGACAAGUAGCAGGAAGAAGCGUUAGCCUCUAGGUGUACCCGGUGUCUCGGGGCCACAGAGGGCGCCAUGCACGAGCUCUAGCUUCUUGGCGUGGAAGCUAGCCUGGCGGGGGAAGGGGAGCCGCUGUUGCUUGGUGAGGACGUAGGGGCAGAACUGCUCCACGUGCUCAACUCAUGGCAUGCCCUGCACCAUCUCCUUGUUGCCGAGCUACUUUAGGGCUUCAGAACACCGUCCUCAAUCUCCACGCAAGAGCCAUUCUCAUCCAGCUGUCCCAAGCUGAUGGGAGUUCCUCAGCGCGGGGAUGUGAUAGACACCGGUGAGCAGUCCAUGCUCGCUGGUCUUGGCGGUGAAGAUGACGGAGCCGAUGCCCUUGAUCUGCACGGCGCAGGCGUCACCAAACUUGACGGAGCCUCGAACGCCGAAGUCAAGCUUGGAGAAGAACUCUCGCCGCCUGGUCAUGUGAUGAGUAGUGUUGGUGUUCAUAAAGUCCACACAAUUGGACACUGCAGGAACCUAGCCACAAGUGAGGUAGCUCAAUGACACGAGCAAUCCACUAAAGUUAUCUUUCGGCGGGGAAGGUGCAAGACCUCUCACAAUCAUCGGGAGAUGGCCAUGAACAAUCACCAACUCGUGCCAAUGCUUCUUUGCUGCUCCAAGCCGUCUAGGUGGCGGCAACCACCAAGAGUAACAAGAAAACCGCAGCCACAACAAUCCCUAAGUGCCACUAGAUGCAAUCAUUCAUGCAAAUGCACUUGGAAUCACUCUCAAUCUCACUAUAAUGGUGAAUCAAUGAUGGAGAUGAGUGCGAGGUGUUUGCUUAGGCUCACAAGGAUGUCAAGUAUGUCAAAGUGCCAAGAGAGACACCCAAGAGCUGGCAACAACUAUUUAUAAGCGUCCCCAAAGAAUAGAGCCAUUACCCCUAGGACAGUCCUCUAUCGGUGGCGUUGGACGCUGCCCUUAUAGCCGCUCUAGAUUGCUGCCACGUGUCAUCAGUCAAAUGUGACCCGUUGAUUCCCAACGGUCACUUAAACGUUAAAGUUCACAGUUAACAAGCAUCGGAUGCGUUAGGUGCUUUGCACCGGACGCGCCACCCAGGCACUAGACGCUACCCAGAGAGUUCUAGAGUCUCUCUAAGGUGCGUCAGAUGCAGAUGCGCCCGACGGUAGUCCACCAUAUGCUGGGCUAGUGUUCGAUGCCUCCGCUGUCAGCGUCUGAUGAUUGUUUUUCUACCCAUGACUUUCUUUUCACCGGCGUAAUAGAAAAUAUGCAUUUCAUUUUCUCAAAAGCGUCGAAUCUUGCCGAGAGAAACCCAAACCCCUCUCCACCACUUCAACCCUUACUCAAAUUUGCUAACCACCAAGUGUAACACUUUGUGCACGUGUGUUAGCAUAUUUUCACAAAUAUUUUCAAGGGUUAAGUUAGCACACUUGGUUCUAAAUACAUGUACAUGAACAAUGCCAUUUAGUGGCACUUGAUAGACCGCUUAGCUAAAUAAUUACCCUCUUUAUAGUACGGCUAUCUAUCCUAAAUGUGAUCACACCCUCUGUGGUGUCUUGAUCACCAAAAUCAAAACCAAAACCAGAACCCUAAAAGGUACCUUUGUCUUGAUCUCCAUAGGGUUUUGUUUUUCUUUUUCUUUCUUUUUAAGUUGAGCACUUGAUCAUCUUGUGGUCAUCACCAUGAUCAUCUCUUGCUCUAUCACUUGGCAUGUACCAAUCUCAUCUAAUUCACACACUUAACGUGGAGGUUAGGUUUUAUCAAUUAUCUAAAACCAAACUUAGGCUUUCACCAGUAGCCGGUCCUCUCUUAGUUGUGCAAGUGUCGUCACGGGUGGCCUUGCUCUCGCCAUCGGCACUACGGAGCGCCACCACACGCCUUGUCCUGCUUGCGCGGCCGACGCUUGUGGCUGCUCGACGACCCAAGCUGCCCCCUUCAUCUGCUCGCGCUCGCGGGCGAGCCACUACUCCUUGAACAAAAGCUUGCCACCAAUGGUGACCAGCUUCGAGGGAGGCUCGUGGCUGUCGAUGGCCUUGAGGUGGCCCGUCACCUCCACGGUCGUGAGCUUGUGUCCUUGAUGAUGGUCUACAUGAUGGGAGGGGAGCUGGGCCGACCAUGGCGACCUCGACGCCGGUAUUGGGAAAGGGAGUCGCGUCGCUUGCGAGGGCUCCGUGUGCUAGCGUCAUUUCCUCCAAGCUCCUGGUCGAAGUUGUGAUGUGCCUCUUGCGCCGCUGCUUGCUCCCAGAGUCGUUGGGCCUCCAUGGCACGGUCUUUCUGAGGAUCAUGCCACGGGUCAUGCUCUAGCCUUGCUUUGCUGUCGCGUCGGCCCCAUGCAUCCUGCUCUUGUGUGUCCAGUCCGAGGUCGUGGUCGUCAAAGCCGUUGUGGUUCCCUGCCUCGCAUCCACCACGUCAGCUAAAGCCGCAGGCCUGCGUUCGCGUCAGCAUGUGCGCCUGUGUCUAGGUCGCUUGCGUGGCUUGCGCAUGCAUGUGUGCUGCUGGUCUCGGUCGCGGUCGCUGCCGAUGCUGUGUUCACCUACAUCAGGCCAGGCCGCUCUAUCGUGGCUCCCGCGUGGCCCGAGUGAGCAUCCAUGUUGUAGUCGUCGUAGUAGAACUGCUCUGCAUCGUGUCCGCAUAGGCUGCGUCCGCCUAGGGCGUCGAAGCUAUGUCCCAGGCCGUCGUUGAGGCCGUGACCGCAUCUUGCGUCUCGCGCACCUGUACCGCGCAGCUGCUCGCCAUCGAGGCCACACAGCUCCCGCUCGUAGGGUAGCGGCCUCCACUGCCGCCGCUUGGGCCGCGGCCUCCUCGGCAGCCUGCGCUACUGCUAGCUCAGCGGCAGCUAGCCGCUGCGCCCGAGCAGUGGCCGCCGCCCGCUCUGCCGCCUCUUGCUCGUGUCUCUCCGCGGCGACCAGCUAUGCGUGGUGCACUUCCUCUGUAGUUAGCGCGGCUUGCCUACGCCGUAUGCUUGAGGUGGUGGUGGAGCAAUUGGAAGAGGAAGAGUAGGAGCGGACAAACAUACUGCCGGAUUGAGGAUGGGUAAAAGGGAAAAACCCUAGGUAACUUGAGGCUCAUACCAAUUGUUGGACACAAAUCACAUGAUUUGGGGUUAGUUUUUCUAUUUCAUUAGCCUUACCACAACUAUGGCAGGUUAGGGAUACAUAUAGGGUAGCUUGCUUGGUCCUUAAGAAAGGAUUACAACGUGUUCUAGAGAUGCUAAAGUAGAUGCUAUAAAGAUAAAGUGCUGACACAGGAGCCACCAACUACUCUAGAUAAGUAUCCUAGGUAGGUAAGCACUAGACUUAUGCUUUCAAUCAUCCGGUGCAAUAGUUUGGGGCCUCCCUACACCUUGUAUCCCCUGGCAGCUCCCUCCUUAUCAUGCGCCCUUGUUGCUGUUGCUCCUGCUCCCACUACUAUUUGGCACCGUCGUCUUGGUCACCCUUGCCAUGAAGCUUUGUCCAAGCUCUCUAGUAGUAGUGGGCCAUCUCAUGUACCUGUCGUUCUAGUGACACUUUAUGUCAUGGUCAAUUAGGUCAUCACAUUCGGUUGCCUUCUACUCAUUCUUUGUCUUGUGUGGUCAAGUGUUUCGACUUAAUUCAUUGUGACUUAUGGACCUCUCCUGUUAAGAAUGUGUCUGGAUAUAAGUAUUAUCUUGUUAUUCUUUGGUGAUUACUCUCAUUUUCUCUAGACAUACCCUUUGCGCCUCAAGUCUUGACUUUCUCCACUUUGGCACAUUUUUCUCUUACGUGACUACUCAAUUUGGCUACACCAUUAAAAGUGUCCAAUGUGACAAUUCCUCCACCUGCUCUUUCUUCCUUACUCAUGGCGUUCUUCUACAAAUGUCAUGUCCCUACACCUCCCAAAAUGGUAAGGUUGAAUGCAUCAUUUCCUCUGUUAAUAACAUUAUGUGUUCCCUUCUCUUCCAAGCAUCCUUGCCAGCUUCCUACUGGGUUGAAGGUCUCCAUACUGCCACCUAUUUACUAAAUCGCCUUCCCACAAAAACUCUGGAGUGUUACUCCUCAUUUCGCCUUGUUUGGCUAACAUCCCUCCUAUUCCCAACUUUGGGUCUUUGGCUGUGCUUGUUAUCCUAACAUGUCUGCCAGUGCUCCUCACAAACUUUCCCCUCGCUCCACUCUGUGUUUUCCUAGGAUACUCUUUUAAUCAUAAGGGAAUUCGUUCUCUUGACCUCUCAAACCACAUCAUCAUCUCUGGUCUUGUUAUCUUUAAUGAGACGAACUUUCCCUUUGCCAAGACACCAUCACCCCCUACUACUAACAGUUUUAUUUUGAGUAAAUUGCAUUCACCAUACAACAACUAAUGAAGUGGGUGCAUGUUAGUCCAACAUCUUCUAAUUUGUCCAAUUUAAUACGACAACUAUCUAGGUGGGUGCUUAUUGGUCCAACAUCUUCUAAUCUGUUUAAUUUGAAGUAAAAAUUUAGUUCAUUGAUGCGUGUAUGUUCCAAGCAGUGUCUUUGUACACUCUAAAUUCUUGUCAUCGAAAGCUAAACACCCUAGCACGCUCAUCUCGUCCAUCACUCAACUUGAAUUAUUUACUAUAUUAUGAUAACAUUUCUCAGACUUUGGCCAAAUAAAGGGUUACAUUCAAUUUCUAUUUUAAAUUUUAGUAUAGGAAAAGUCAUACCAUUAACAUAAAGUGGUAAGCUUAUAAGGAAUCAAAUGCUCACUACUUAUCCUUCUAAAACUUUCUCUAAAUUUUGUGGGUCCUAAAUCCGCUAAAUUGAGUUUUAAGUUUUUACAAGCCAAUUAACCUCUCCCUCUCUAGGCCUUUCCUAUCCUUUCGACGGGUGCAACUGUGCAUCGUCUUCUUUUUUGUGUCUAUUACAUCAUCUUAUUUUUUUGUGUCUACUACAUCCUUUAAACGGUGGCAACCGCUUUUUAUUUUCUUUUUUUCUUAGCUUGGUAAACCUAUAUAAGAACUUGCUUAGUUCGGUUAUAGGUAGAACCAAACCAAAAAAAAAAAA